CCUUGAUUAUUUGGUUCUGAUUACAUUAAUCGUCACGAUUCGUUUUGCGACUUUGCUUAUGGUGCCUUUGCUAGGAAUGAUAAAAAGGAUUCUCAAAAGAUACGAUUAAUGAUAAAAAAAAAAGAAAUUUCGCGCUCCUAAAUGUAGCGUGUCUUCGCUGCUGCUGUCAAGUCUCGUAAAAAAAACACCGCAUGCCGUUAAAGUUUUGGAAAAACCCUCAAAUUUGACCAGAAACCCCGUAAAAUAUUCUUGAAAGUACUAAAAACUAAGCGCAUCGAGGCCGACAACAUCGCAAAAGUGAAGCUAGCAGUAAAUACGUGAAAAAACUCCAGCAUCCAGCCGGACAAACGCCGAGGUCGAACCAGUUCCAGCGCCAAACAAUGUGAACCUAUGCAGAAGCAACCUACAUUCACAUCAACAGCAGCAGUAGUACUUUGGCGGAACAUCAUCGGUCGUCCAGUUCCUCAAUUAUGUUUGCGACCUCACCACCAAUCACAACAUUCCGGAGGUUGCAGGAUGGGACAAACACCACAGCAGCAGCCACCAUUCCCAUUAUCAUCACGAGAAACGAACCAGCUUAUCAGCAGCAGCAGCGGUCAGUUUAGGCUGGUACAGUUUUUUCACGGCGGAAGUGCACUAGGCCCGGAAGUGGCUCAGACGGCGGUCACAAUGAAACAUGGCUAAUGAACGGAAUCCACCCAGUAUACUGCAAAAAGAACUCCCUUGCUUGCCGGAUCUCUUAACACAAAAUUUUGCAAUAAGUGGCAUCUGCUGGUUUGUUGGUAAAAACGAUCACAAACUUCGGUAUCACCAAAAAGACGAGCAGGAAACUAGGAUUUAAUUCAAAUUGUGGUGGUCCGGAAGGGAAAUUUUUCGGUAUUGAAAGCAGAAUGGCUCGGAGUAUUUCUUUGCACCUCGGAUCACAGUACCGGAGGAGCCAAUAUUUUAAUCAGUGGAAAAUCACAAGCGGAAAAAGGAGAUCUUAACGCAGCUAGCUAAGUUCCAUGAGUGUAUUCAUUUCAUUAGAGGUACUACUUAGGAUUACUAAAGAAUCAAUAAGAUCUGUUUUCCGUCAGGGUUUUAGAAGAUCUAAAUUAGUAUAUUUUUAUAAUAAUAAUAAUAGUAAACCAUAUAUAAAUUUACCUUAAAAUUGAAAUAAUGUAGUCUAAAAGAAUUUAGAUUGAUUUACUUCCCGAAUAGAAAAACAUUGUGAAAAGAUCAUGAAUUUCAUUUUCACGCAACCGUGAAUUAUAUAAUUGAAACUAUGCGAAUCAUGGUACAUGAAACCUUGAAUGUACUGUGAAAUUCAUAUUUUUCGACAGUGAAAUUUAUGGUUUUAGCAAAAUUUACCAUGAAAAAAGGGGGUUGUUAAGCAACUUAACAAUGAAAAAAUCAACUUUUUUCCAUACAUUUCAAAUUGCAAAAAUAUGAAGUGAAUGGUUAUUUCAGCUUCCAAUUUUCCUCAAGGAAACUGUAAAAUUCAUCGUUUUAUGUUGAAUUUACAUCGUUCUGACGAUGAUGAACAUCAAUGUUUAUUCACAGUUUUUAGAAUCCCUCGUGACCGUGAAAUUUCAUGGUGAAAUAGUUUUUUUUUAUUUUCUUUCCAAAACUAUUAUAAUAAAUAAACUAUUUUUCUGGCUAUUAUCUAACUAUUUAUUAAUAAGGCUUUGAUUUUUUUUAAACAUACUGUGAUACACUCACUGUGUCACUUUCAACCAUCGGCACUUUGUUCCGACGCCUCGGUGAGCCUCCUCCUCCUCAUUCUCCCGAGACGGCUCCAGCAUAUCUUCCAGCAGCAGGUCCCAAAUGUGUGUAUGUGGUCCAAUUGAGCCAUUUUAUACGGCCUACGUUUGAAGCCUGAGCGACCGAUGUCAGCUAUUUGCGUCUGCUUCUGAAAAAUUAAAAAAAAAAACAAUUUCCGAUAAGUUUUUUACUCUAAUAUGUACACUAAAAGUACUCACCAGAGAAAUCGACUCCAUCCGAACGUCCUAUUCUCGCACGCUGUACCGACUUUUUGCUCCUAAAAAAAAUAAAAAUAGUAACUAAAAAAGGCGAAAUGAGUUUUAGAAAGAUCUCACCGUAAGAAUUUUUGUUUCCUAUAAAAUUGUCGACCACUGUCCGGAUAAUGGCGCGUAAACA